CCUACGGGGGGCAGCAGUGGGGAAUAUUGGACAAUGGGGGGAACCCUGAUCCAGCCAUGUCGCGUGUGUGAAGAAGGCCCUCGGGUUGUAAAGCACUUUCAGUGAGGAAGAACGCCUGGUGGUUAAUACCCAUCAGGAAAGACAUCACUCACAGAAGAAGCACCGGCUAACUCCGUGCCAGCAGCCGCGGUAAUACGGAGGGUGCGAGCGUUAAUCGGAAUUACUGGGCGUAAAGCGCGCGUAGGUGGCUUGAUAAGCCGGUUGUGAAAGCCCCGGGCUCAACCUGGGAACGGCAUCCGGAACUGUCAAGCUAGAGUGCAGGAGAGGAAGGUAGAAUUCCCGGUGUAGCGGUGAAAUGCGUAGAGAUCGGGAGGAAUACCAGUGGCGAAGGCGGCCUUCUGGACUGACACUGACACUGAGGUGCGAAAGCGUGGGUAGCAAACAGGAUUAGAUACCCUAGUAGUC
rnacentral:rRNA from 1 species